rnacentral:tRNA from 1 species
CGCGUGGUGGUCUAGAGGUAUGAUUCCUUCUUUUGGGUUUCUAUACUAUCUGAAGGAAAUCCCGGGUUCAAUUGCCGGCCAGACCU